rnacentral:rRNA from 1 species
GCAAGUCGAACGGUAACAGGGAGCUUGCUCCGCUGACGAGUGGCGAACGGGUGAGUAAUGCGUCGGAACGUGCCGAGUAGUGGGGGAUAACGCAUCGAAAGGUGUGCUAAUACCGCAUACGUACUGAGGUAGAAAGUGGGGGACCUUCGGGCCUCACGCUAUUCGAGCGGCCGACGUCUGAUUAGCUAGUUGGUGAGGUAAAGGCUCACCAAGGCGACGAUCAGUAGCGGGUCUGAGAGGAUGAUCCGCCACACUGGGACUGAGACACGGCCCAGACUCCUACGGGAGGCAGCAGUGGGGAAUUUUGGACAAUGGGCGCAAGCCUGAUCCAGCCAUGCCGCGUGUCUGAAGAAGGCCUUCGGGUUGUAAAGGACUUUUGUCCGGGAGCAAAUGCUGGUGGCUAACAUCCACCGGAGCUGAGAGUACCGGAAGAAUAAGCACCGGCUAACUACGUGCCAGCAGCCGCGGUAAUACGUAGGGUGCAAGCGUUAAUCGGAAUUACUGGGCGUAAAGCGUGCGCAGGCGGUUUUGUAAGCCAGAUGUGAAAGCCCCGGGCUCAACCUGGGAACUGCGUUUGGAACUACAAGACUAGAGUGUGUCAGAGGGGGGUGGAAUUCCGCGUGUAGCAGUGAAAUGCGUAGAGAUGCGGAGGAACACCGAUGGCGAAGGCAGCCCCCUGGGAUAACACUGACGCUCAUGCACGAAAGCGUGGGGAGCAAAACAGGAUU